GGGGGGGCGGGCGUGCUACACAUGCAGUCGAACGAUGAUGCCCAGCUUGCUGGGUGGAUUAGUGGCGAACGGGUGAGUAACACGUGAGUAACCUGCCCCUGACUCUGGGAUAAGCGUUGGAAACGACGUCUAAUACUGGAUAUGAUCACUGGCCGCAUGGUCUGGUGGUGGAAAGAUCUUUUGGUUGGGGAUGGACUCGCGGCCUAUCAGCUUGUUGGUGAGGUAAUGGCUCACCAAGGCGACGACGGGUAGCCGGCCUGAGAGGGUGACCGGCCACACUGGGACUGAGACACGGCCCAGACUCCUACGGGAGGCAGCAGUGGGGAAUAUUGCACAAUGGGCGAAAGCCUGAUGCAGCAACGCCGCGUGAGGGAUGACGGCCUUCGGGUUGUAAACCUCUUUUAGUAGGGAAGAAGCGAAAGUGACGGUACCUGCAGAAAAAGCACCGGCUAACUACGUGCCAGCAGCCGCGGUAAUACGUAGGGUGCAAGCGUUGUCCGGAAUUAUUGGGCGUAAAGAGCUCGUAGGCGGUUUGUCGCGUCUGCUGUGAAAUCCCGAGGCUCAACCUCGGGCUUGCAGUGGGUACGGGCAGACUAGAGUGCGGUAGGGGAGAUUGGAAUUCCUGGUGUAGCGGUGGAAUGCGCAGAUAUCAGGAGGAACACCGAUGGCGAAGGCAGAUCUCUGGGCCGUAACUGACGCUGAGGAGCGAAAGCAUGGGGAGCGAACAGGAUUAGAUACCCUGGUAGUCCAUGCCGUAAACGUUGGGCGCUAGAUGUAGGGACCUUUCCACGGUUUCUGUGUCGUAGCUAACGCAUUAAGCGCCCCGCCUGGGGAGUACGGCCGCAAGGCUAAAACUCAAAGGAAUUGACGGGGGCCCGCACAAGCGGCGGAGCAUGCGGAUUAAUUCGAUGCAACGCGAAGAACCUUACCAAGGCUUGACAUACACCGGAAACGGCCAGAGAUGGUCGCCCCCUUGUGGUCGGUGUACAGGUGGUGCAUGGUUGUCGUCAGCUCGUGUCGUGAGAUGUUGGGUUAAGUCCCGCAACGAGCGCAACCCUCGUUCUAUGUUGCCAGCGGGUUAUGCCGGGGACUCAUAGGAGACUGCCGGGGUCAACUCGGAGGAAGGUGGGGAUGACGUCAAAUCAUCAUGCCCCUUAUGUCUUGGGCUUCACGCAUGCUACAAUGGCCGGUACAAAGGGCUGCGAUACCGUAAGGUGGAGCGAAUCCCAAAAAGCCGGUCUCAGUUCGGAUUGAGGUCUGCAACUCGACCUCAUGAAGUCGGAGUCGCUAGUAAUCGCAGAUCAGCAACGCUGCGGUGAAUACGUUCCCGGGCCUUGUACACACCGCCCGUCAAGUCAUGAAAGUCGGUAACACCCGAAGCCGGUGGCCUAACCCUUGUGGAAGGAGCCGUCGAAGUGAUCGU
rnacentral:rRNA from 1 species